AUGCCACGCACGCCCCUGCCCUCCCUCCCUGGGCAAACCCCGAGGGGCCCCAAGUGGCCGUUCCUAGGAGUGCGUCCCGGGGACAGACGGACGCGGGCAAACACACGGGUCAGGCGGGCGAUGGCCGUUCACGUUUAUUUUUGUGCAAUUCUGGGUUUAACAAAACCACAACCGUCCAAAAGGCACUUUAGAAUCAGGCGGGCAGCCGCGCCGGAAGGAAGCCCUGAAGCUGUGCCAGAGGCCGGACCUCCCUGCCCUGGAUGCUCAUUCCCCGGGGGAGGGGCAGGCGGGCCCUUGAGGGGUGACCCCCAGCCCCCCCUUUCUGAAGUCGGAGGGCCACUCCCGGGGGGCGCCGAGGGGAAGGCCUCGCUCUCAGCACCCCGCCAGCUCGGCGCCGGAGGUCCCAGGGAGCCUCGGCAGGAACAGAACACGGCCGCGAGCAGCCAAACCGAGGGGGCCUCCGGUGCCCGAGCGCUGCCCUCUCCUGGCAGGGGCCCGACGCUGAGGAGAAGAUGGGGCGGCCCUUCCCCCGCCACCGCUGUGGGAGCCAACGGGGUACCCCCCCGUUCCAAAGGGAGGUCCCAUGGGAACCCCCGCCCGGUCCAUCUCCAUUGACAACAAUCUUCAGAUCCCAAGAACUUCCGCCACAAGGAGCCGCCACGCGUGGGCCCUGCUGGGGUCGAGGGCGCUGGGCCUCCCUCCCGGUGGCCCCGGGAAGCCUCCGUCCCUCCCGCAGGAUGGGCUCUUGGCAGGCCACGUGAAGCCAGUCCCUUCCCAGGACCUCCAUUUAGGGCACGGGGAGGGCCGCACGGACGACCGACCGACCGUCGCCGGGUCCUUCGGCCCUUCCUGGCACCACCGGGAGAAGGGGUCGGAGGAGACCCAGAGCGGCGGGCGGGGAGGAUGCCAGCAGCUGUGGGCAAAGCCGACGUCGGGGGCGGCUGGGCAGGCCUGGUGAGCAAGAGUGGCUCAAACGGAGCAUCGGAACGAAGACGGGCCGGCGGAAGAGGCGUCCCGGGCUGGGGCCUGGGCGGGAGACUCGGCCGCAGCCCGUGUCCCGAGCGGCCGUGGUCAGCAGGGGCGCCCGAUGGCCCGUUAGGGCCGGGGAGCAGCAGCUCGUCUGUCCUCGUCAUCUUUGGGGUCUUCUGGUUAAGGCAGCUCAGGGUGGAACAGAAGCAGCCCCUCCCCGCCCAAACCUGCUGCUUUCAGGAGCGUA
rnacentral:lncRNA from 1 species